UCCGUAGGCGGGCGUCUAAGUCAGUGGUGAAAUCUUACAGCUCAACUGUAAAAUUGCCAUUGAUACUGGAUGUCUUGAAUUAGUGUGAAGUGGUUAGAAUGUGUAGUGUAGCGGUGAAAUGCACAGAUAUUACACAGAAUACCAAUUGCGAAGGCAGAUCACUAACACUAUAUUGACGCUGAGGGACGAAAGCGUGGGGAGCGAACAGGAUUAAUACCCUGGUAGUCC
rnacentral:rRNA from 1 species